rnacentral:rRNA from 1 species
CCCGCUGACGAGCGGCGGACGGGUGAGUAAUGCUUAGGAAUCUGCCCAGUAGUGGGGGAUAGCCCGGGGAAACCCGGAUUAAUACCGCAUACGUCCUACGGGAGAAAGCAGGGGAUCUUCGGACCUUGCGCUACUGGAUGAGCCUAAGUCGGAUUAGCUAGUUGGUGGGGUAAAGGCCUACCAAGGCGACGAUCCGUAGCUGGUCUGAGAGGAUGAUCAGCCACAUCGGGACUGAGACACGGCCCGAACUCCUACGGGAGGCAGCAGUGGGGAAUAUUGGACAAUGGGGGCAACCCUGAUCCAGCCAUGCCGCGUGUGUGAAGAAGGCUUUCGGGUUGUAAAGCACUUUCAGUGAGGAGGAAGGCUCAAAGGUUAAUACCCUUUGGGAUUGACGUUACUCACAGAAGAAGCACCGGCUAACUCCGUGCCAGCAGCCGCGGUAAUACGGAGGGUGCAAGCGUUAAUCGGAAUUACUGGGCGUAAAGCGCGCGUAGGUGGUUUGAUAAGCGAGAUGUGAAAGCCCCGGGCUUAACCUGGGAACGGCAUUUCGAACUGUCUGACUAGAGUGUGGUAGAGGGUAGUGGAAUUUCCUGUGUAGCGGUGAAAUGCGUAGAUAUAGGAAGGAACACCAGUGGCGAAGGCGGCUACC